CUAGAGCAGGGAGCAUUUGCAGAGGCUUGGGAGGGAGUGGACGUGUCCCUGAUGCUAAGGGCAGAGGAGGAGCGGGGCCCUCGGGCAGCUGGAAGGGCAUCCUGAAAAGACGCCUGCCUGCCGCCGUUCUCCUGGCAGCAGGGCGCGCUGGGAAGCACCAGGCAGGAAGUGAAGAAUUUCCGGUUGUCAGCGGAGGGAUGGGGCGUCACCAAGUCUGUGGCAAGCACACCAAGAACCAGCUAAGUCCAAGGCUCACCUGCAUGGCAAAUGGUGAAGAGCCCAGCUCCCACUGAAGGCAUAUGACCCAGAUCCUGAGAACCAGAUGCACCGGCCUGAGCUUUCGUCAGAAGCAAGGACACACAGAACCUUUCUUAGAGGCAUCAUUAGAGGACCGGACAUGGUGGCCAGAGGCUGCAGGGACAGAAGUCCCAGGGCCAUGUCCAGGAACUGGGCUCAGGGGACCUCCUGGUGCCACCUGCAUAUCUGAGCCCAUGGAGUUCCUCUGGUCUAUUCAGUUCUCUCAUUUUAACUUAAUUUUGUUUUUGUAGGCUUUCUUAAAAAAUUGCCCAGUUCAUUUACCUGAUCACGUUUAUUGUUCAGAGUUGAGUGUGGUUCUCUCGUAAUUAUUUAGUCUCCACUGGGUCUGUGAUUAUAUUUCCUUUCUUAUUGCUAAUGCUGUUUGUGUUUGAUUUUCUUCUUUUUUUUCUUGGCCUGACUUAAAGAGGUUUGUCUGUUUUAUCUUUAUUUUAAAAAUAACCAACUGUUUAUUUUUACUUCUCCACUGUGAUUUCCCCCUUUAUUUCUUUAAUGUUUGAGUUUAUAUUUUUUCCUAUUUAUUUUGGCUUAAAUUUUAUUAUCAUUUUGCUAUAUCCUUGUGUCAAGCGCUUAAUUCAAUUAUUUUGUUAUUUUGACUUCUAAAAAAUCAGUUAAUUCUAUAAGUUUUCCUCUAUGUACUACAUUGAGCAAACUCCACAGAUUUCUGUAGGGGGCAUACUAAUUGUAAUUCAAUUUCGUUUUCCAUGUGUAGGUCCAGAUUUAUUUGAAUGUCCAAAUACUUAGAAUUGUAGGCUCUUGUUUUGUUAUUAAAGUCUGGUUUUAUUACAUUGUGUUUAGAGAAAAUAAUAUGGAGGAUUUUAAUUUUAGAUAAAGCAUUAAUAUCUUUUUUAUCCUCAAACAUGAUCAAUUUUUGACAGUGUUCCAAAAAUAUACUAUGAAAUAUAUAUUA
rnacentral:lncRNA from 1 species